rnacentral:rRNA from 1 species
AGAGUUUGAUCAUGGCUCAGGACGAACGCUGGCGGCGUGCCUAAUACAUGCAAGUUGAGCGAUGAAGAUUGGUGCUUGCACCAAUUUGAAGAGCAGCGAACGGGUGAGUAACGCGUGGGGAAUCUGCCUUUGAGCGGGGGACAACAUUUGGAAACGAAUGCUAAUACCGCAUAACAACUUUAAACAUAAGUUUUAAGUUUGAAAGAUGCAAUUGCAUCACUCAAAGAUGAUCCCGCGUUGUAUUAGCUAGUUGGUGAGGUAAAGGCUCACCAAGGCGAUGAUACAUAGCCGACCUGAGAGGGUGAUCGGCCACAUUGGGACUGAGACACGGCCCAAACUCCUACGGGAGGCAGCAGUAGGGAAUCUUCGGCAAUGGACGAAAGUCUGACCGAGCAACGCCGCGUGAGUGAAGAAGGUUUUCGGAUCGUAAAACUCUGUUGGUAGAGAAGAACGUUGGUGAGAGUGGAAAGCUCAUCAAGUGACGGUAACUACCCAGAAAGGGACGGCUAACUACGUGCCAGCAGCCGCGGUAAUACGUAGGUCCCGAGCGUUGUCCGGAUUUAUUGGGCGUAAAGCGAGCGCAGGUGGUUUAUUAAGUCUGGUGUAAAAGGCAGUGGCUCAACCAUUGUAUGCAUUGGAAACUGGUAGACUUGAGUGCAGGAGAGGAGAGUGGAAUUCCAUGUGUAGCGGUGAAAUGCGUAGAUAUAUGGAGGAACACCGGUGGCGAAAGCGGCUCUCUGGCCUGUAACUGACACUGANGCUCGAAAGCGUGGGGAGCAAACA